rnacentral:rRNA from 1 species
AUUGAACGCUGGCGGCAUGCUUUACACAUGCAAGUCGAACGGUAACAGGUUAAGCUGACGAGUGGCGAACGGGUGAGUAAUGCAUCGGAACGUGCCCGGUCGUGGGGGAUAACGCAGCGAAAGCUGCGCUAAUACCGCAUACGAUCUGAGGAUGAAAGCGGGGGACCGUAAGGCCUCGCGCGAUCGGAGCGGCCGAUGUCAGAUUAGGUAGUUGGUGGGGUAAAGGCCCACCAAGGCGACGAUCAGUAGCUGGUCUGAGAGGAUGAUCAGCCACACUGGGACUGAGACACGGCCCAGACUCCUACGGGAGGCAGCAGUGGGGAACUUUGGACAAUGGGGGCAACCCUGAUCCAGCCAUUCCGCGUGAGUGAAGAAGGCCUUCGGGUUGUAAAGCUCUUUUGUCCGGGAAGAAACGGUUUCACCUAAUACGUGAGACUACUGACGGUACCGGAAGAAUAAGGACCGGCUAACUACGUGCCAGCCGCCGCCGUAA